UAAACAAUUGUUAAUUUCUUG
rnacentral:piRNA from 1 species